GGGGGUGUAGUCUAGCGGUUAUGAUUUCCCUUUGGCAGGUUCUUGUAUCCUGAUUUACCUUAGGGAAGGUCCCGGGUUCGAUUCCCGGCUCCUCCA
rfam:Coniochaeta ligniaria NRRL 30616 unplaced genomic scaffold CONLIGscaffold_16, whole genome shotgun sequence.